CAGUCGCCGGGUAAUACGAAGGGGGCUAGCGUUGCUCGGAAUGACUGGGCGUAAAGGGCGCGUAGGCGGAUUGUUUAGUUAGGCGUGAAAUUCCUGGGCUUAACCUGGGGACUGCGCUUAAUACAGGCAGUCUAGAGUGAGGAAGAGGGUUGUGGAAUUCCCAGUGUAGAGGUGAAAUUCGUAGAUAUUGGGAAGAACACCGGUGGCGAAGGCGGCAACCUGGUCCUUGACUGACGCUGAGGCGCGAAAGCGUGGGGAGCAAACAGGAUUAGAGACCCCGGUAGUCCCUGUCUCUUAUACA
rnacentral:rRNA from 1 species